CCCUUCGAGGAGCGUUGCAUCCCCCGCCUGUUGGCGCAGGGGUCAGGCUCGAAGGGGCGGUUUCUCCCCCUUCGCAACGACGCUCACCCGCU
rnacentral:ncRNA from 2 species